rnacentral:rRNA from 1 species
GCGCAGCAGUCGAGAAUCCUCCGCAAUGCGCGAAAGCGCGACGGGGCCACCCCGAGUGCCGCCCGCUGAGGGCGGCUUUUCCCCGGUGUAGACAGCCGGGGGAAUAAGGGGAGGGCAAGUCUGGUGUCAGCCGCCGCGGUAAUACCAGCUCCCCGAGUGGUGGGGACGAUUAUUGGGCCUAAAGCGUCCGUAGCCGGCCCGGCAAGUCUCCCGUUAAAUCCAGCGAUCUAAUCGCUGGACUGCGGGAGAUACUGUCGGGCUAGGGGGCGGGAGAGGCCGGCGGUAUUCCCGGGGUAGGGGUGAAAUCCUAUAAUCCCGGGAGGACCACCAGUGGCGAAGGCUGCCGGCUGGAACGCGCCCGACGGUGAGGGACGAAAGCCGGGGGAGCGAACCGGAUUAGAUACCCCGGUAGU